rnacentral:rRNA from 1 species
GACGAACGCUGGCGGCGUGCCUAAUACAUGCAAGUCGAACGAGAGCGCCCGGUGCUUGCACUGGUCAAUCUAGUGGCGCACGGGUGAGUAACACGUGGGUAACCUGCCCAUCAGAGGGGGAUAACAUCCGGAAACGGAUGCUAAAACCGCAUAGGUCUUCGAGCCGCAUGGCUUGAAGAGGAAAAGAGGCGCAAGCUUCUGCUGAUGGAUGUACCCGCGGUGCAUUAGCUAGUUUGUGAGGUAACGGCUCACCAAGGCCGUGAUGCAUAGCCGACCUGAGGGGGGGAUCGGCCACAUUGGGACUGAGACACGGCCCAAACUCCUACGGGAGGCAGCAGUAGGGAAUCUUCCGCAAUGGACGCAAGUCUGACGGAGCAACGCCGCGUGAGUGAAGAAGGUUUUCGGAUCGUAAAACUCUGUUGUUAGAGAAGAACAAGUGCUAGAGUAACUGUUAGCGCCUUGACGGUAUCUAACCAGAAAGCCACGGCUAACUACGUG